GUGGGGUAGUGGCCUACCAAGGCGACGACGGGUAGCCGGCCUGAGAGGGUGACCGGCCACACUGGGACUGAGACACGGCCCAGACUCCUACGGGAGGCAGCAGUGGGGAAUAUUGCGCAAUGGGCGGAAGCCUGACGCAGCGACGCCGCGUGGGGGAUGACGGCCUUCGGGUUGUAAACCUCUUUCAGCAGGGACGAAGCGGAAGUGACGGUACCUGCAGAAGAAGCACCGGCCAACUACGUGCCAGCAGCCGCGGUAAUACGUAGGGUGCAAGCGUUGUCCGGAAUUAUUGGGCGUAAAGAGCUCGUAGGCGGUUCGUCGCGUCGGCUGUGAAAACCUGAGGCUCAACCUCAGGCCUGCAGUCGAUACGGGCGGACUUGUGUGUUGCAGGGGAGACUGGAAUUCCUGGUGUAGCGGUGAAAUGCGCAGAUAUCAGGAGGAACACCGGUGGCGAAGGCGGGUCUCUGGGCAACUACUGACGCUGAGGAGCGAAAGCGUGGGGAGCGAACAGGAUUAGAUACCCUGGUAGUCCACGCCGUAAACGUUGGGCGCUAGGUGUGGGGGCCAUUCCACGGUCUCCGUGCCGCAGCUAACGCACUAAGCG
rnacentral:rRNA from 1 species